UGGACAUCAUCAUUGUCGCCAACACGCUGAUAUUACACAUCGUCAACACUGAUGCACACGGCUGGCCCGGCGCCGAUGCUAGUGGGCAGCCGAGCGCUCGUAUUCAUCUCCAGUGCAGUACAACGCCCACCCAUUGCGAGCGCGGUACAAAUAGCUGAACUCAAGCGGACGUGUGCAUCACCGUACGAGGUCCCUGUGCCGAUGUCCGGAGAUCGCUUCAUCAUGGACGCCGAGGAUUCGGCUCCGUCCCACCCGCUGCAAGCUACAUGUCCAUACGCGCCGUCGCCUUCAACGAAGCUCCCGUCAAGGACUACACCGACCCCAGCUCGAACCCAACAAGUCAAGAUGACCAUCAGCCAAUGCACAUCUUUAUCAACCCGUACCACACACGGACGCCAACUACAUCGACACAAAGAUCGUCUUCAUCGACUCCGUGACAAGGCGGCGAGAGCGCCAACUACAUCGGCACGCUACCCUUCUUCUAGCCGAGUCACACGACCACGACAUAUCAAGCCUCAUGGGCCCAUGCACACCUCCGGCAUUACAAGAUCUACAUCGCCAAGUUCAUACAUCAUCGUCAUCAAGCCACGUUGCCACGCAACGACGUUUAAGUCUACUCCGACAACCACAUCAACCCUCUUCCCCAACAUCGGCCUAGCACCGACGAGGCGAAGCCACUCCACCAACAUGUCUUUUCUCCGAUGAAGCAAGCCAUUUCUUGCCGGGCACCGACGAGGCGAAGGCAAGACAUCAAGUCCGACACCGACGAGGCGGACACCACCAGGCCUGGCACCGACGAGGCGAAGGCCGCCCAUCUGUCUGAGCUGACGAGGCCAGACAUCUUCAUCAUCGGACAUCGACAAGCCGGAGAGUAUGGCUAAACAUCGCCGGGGAGACGGACGUACCGUCUCGCUUUCCACUUCACCAUCCCAUCAUCAUCGUCUACGCCAAGUGCAUGGAGAAGACGAGACUUGAAGACGACGACCAUUGCAGCAGCUUAAUCGGAGGUGGUCCGCGGCGUUGACUCGCGGACGUAAUUAAUCGGGAGCCUUCCGAGGCCCCGUGAACCAGAACACACAAUCGCCCAAGUCAUAUCGGCCGCGCUAGCAGGCCACGGAGCGCAUAUGUAAAGGGAUCUUGUAAUUUCGUUUCUCCAUUGAGAGAUUAAUAAAAAUACAUGUUUCCCUAUA